rnacentral:rRNA from 1 species
GACGAACGCUGGCGGCGUGCUUAACACAUGCAAGUCGAACGGAAAGGCCCUGCUUUUGUGGGGUGCUCGAGUGGCGAACGGGUGAGUAACACGUGAGUAACCUGCCCUUGACUUUGGGAUAACUUCAGGAAACUGGGGCUAAUACCGGAUAGGAGCUCCUGCUGCAUGGUGGGGGUUGGAAAGUUUCGGCGGUUGGGGAUGGACUCGCGGCUUAUCAGCUUGUUGGUGGGGUAGUGGCUUACCAAGGCUUUGACGGGUAGCCGGCCUGAGAGGGUGACCGGCCACAUUGGGACUGAGAUACAGCCCAGACUCCUACGGGAGGCAGCAGUGGGGAAUAUUGCACAAUGGGCGGAAGCCUGAUGCAGCAACGCCGCGUGCGGGAUGACGGCCUUCGGGUUGUAAACCGCUUUCGCCUGUGACGAAGCGUGAGUGACGGUAAUGGGUAAAGAGGCACCGGCUAACUACGUG